rnacentral:rRNA from 1 species
GAGUUUGAUCCUGGCUCAGAACGAACGCUGGCGGCAGGCCUAACACAUGCAAGUCGAGCGCGCCUUUCGGGGUGAGCGGCGGACGGGUUAGUAACGCGUGGGAAUAUGCCCUUUGGUACGGAAUAGCCUCUGGAAGCGGAGAGUAAUACCGUAUGAGCCCUUCGGGGGAAAGAUUUAUCGCCAAAGGAUUAGCCCGCGUUAGAUUAGGUAGUUGGUGGGGUAAUGGCCUACCAAGCCUACGAUCUAUAGCUGGUUUUAGAGGAUGAUCAGCAACACUGGGACUGAGACACGGCCCAGACUCCUACGGGAGGCAGCAGUGGGGAAUCUUGGACAAUGGGGGCAACCCUGAUCCAGCCAUGCCGCGUGAGUGAUGAAGGCCUUAGGGUCGUAAAGCUCUUUCGCCUGUGAAGAUAAUGACGGUAGCAGGUAAAGAAACCCCGGCUAACUCCGUGCCAGCAGCCGCGGUAAUACGGAGGGGGUUAGCGUUGUUCGGAAUUACUGGGCGUAAAGCGCACGUAGGCGGAUCGGAAAGUUGGGGGUGAAAUCCCGGGGCUCAACCCCGGAACUGCCUCCAAAACUAUCGGUCUAGAGUUCGAGAGAGGUGAGUGGAAUUCCGAGUGUAGAGGUGAAAUUCGUAGAUAUUCGGAGGAACGCCAGUGGCGAAGGCGGCUCACUGGCUCGAUACUGACGCUGAGGUGCGAAAGUGUGGGGAGCAAACAGGAUUAGAUACCCUGGUAGUC